GAAUGUUGCGCAGAAUGUCAACAUUCUGAUGUAGCACCUCUGCAAUUGAAUUCAGCACUCCAAGAUGCAAGGCAUUCGAUUGGAUGGUAGGUGCUGAUGUCGCGCUCGCGCUGCAAGAACAACAUGGCACGGGUUCAAAGCCUUAUUCAACUGAGAAAAUUGAUCAGCGUCAUGGUACAAGCGAAGUCUGAAUGGUUUGUUUCCCUGUUUCUUCUGCCUUGGCUGCACCAGCUGUGGAAACCAGACCUGGUGAGGACCCUCUCCUCCAUCCUCAACUAUUGA